AGGUGCUUAAUUGUAGUCAUGGUCCUGUCUGUUAGUUUAGGAUCUCAUAUCUUUCAACUCCCUUUGUAUUAUCUUUGGGACUGUUAAAGUGCUGAGUUGCAGCUGUGGUCCCUUUUCUUAGUCUAGGGUCCUAUCCCUUGCUACUCACUGCAUUACCUGGGAGUGGAUUUGGGACUAGUAAUGUGCUCAUUUGCAAUUGUGGUCCCUUUGGUUAGUCUGGGGUCCCAUGUCCUCCAACUCCUUCUGCAUACAGCAGAGGCUACUUGGGACUCUUAAUAUGUUUAAUUUUAGCUGUGGUCCCAGUAGUUUAGGAUCCUUUGUAUUACCUUUGUAUUAUCAGAUGGUAUUUGGGACUAAAAAAUGCUUAAUUGCAUCUCUGGUCCCUUCUGUUAUAGGAUCCCAAUGUUGUCCAACUCCCUGUGCAUUACAGCAGAGGUCAUUGGGGCUGUUAGUGGGUUUAACUGUAGCUGUGGUCCCUUCUGUUAGUCUAGUAUCCCAAGCCCUCCAACUGCCUUUGUGUUACCUGGGAGUGUAUUUGGGACUCUAAGUUGCUUAACUGCAGCUGUUGUCUCUUCUGUUAGUAGUUUCCCAUGCCCUCCUAUUAUCUUUACGUUAUAACAGAGGGUCCUUGGGAUUGUUAAAGUGCUUAAUUGCUGUUGUAGUCCCUUCUGUAAUUCCAGGGUCCCAUCCCCUCCUACUCUGUUUACCUGAGAGGAUUUUUGGGACUGUUAAAAGAGACCACAUAAUUAAAUUAGUAUAGUUUCCCAUGCCCUCCUAUUCUCUUUGCAUUACAACAGAUGGUACUUGGGAUUGUUAAAGUGCUUAACUGCAGGUGGGGUCCCCUCUGUUAGUCUAGGAUCUCUUGUCCUUCCCCCUUUACAUUACCGGGAGCAGAUUUGGGAAUGUUAACAUGCUUAUUAAUUACAGUUGUUGUCCCUUCUGUUAAUCUAGUUUCCAGUCCCUUCCAACUGGUUUUCCAUUUCCUAGUAACAGAUUUGGGACAAUUAAUAUGCUCAUGUGCAGCUGUGGUCCCUUCUGUUAGUCUAGCAUUCCAUGCCCUCUAACUCCCUUUCCAUCAUAGCAGAGGAUAUUUGGGACUUUUAAUGGCUUAAUUGCAGCCCUGGUCCCUUCUGUUAGUCUAGGAUCCCAUGUUCUCCAACUCACUUUGCAUUACCUGAGAAUGUAUUUGGGACUGUUUAAAUGCUCUAUUGGAGCUGUGGUCCCUUUUGUGUGUCUAGUUUCCCAUGCCCUCCUACUCUUUUGCAUUAUAGCAUUGGAUACUUGGGGCUGUUAAAGUACUUAAUUCCUGGUGUAGUCACUUUUGUUGAUUUAGGAUCCCAUCCCCUUCUACUCCCUUUACAUUAUCUGGGAGGAUUUGGGGGACUUUUAAAGUACUCAUUUGCAGCUGCGGGUCUCUUUUGUUAGUCUAGGAUCCGAUGUCCUCCAACUCCCGUUGCAUUAUAGCAGAUAGUGCUUGGGACUGUAAAUGUGCAUUACAUACAGGUGUGGCCCAUUUUGCUGGUCAUGACCACCUCUUCCCUUUAUAUUACCUGGGAUCAGAUUUGGUACUGAAAGGUGCUUAAUUGCAGCCACUGUUCCCUUCUGAUUAGGAUCCCACACCUCCAUCUCUAUUUGCAUUACAGCAGGGCGUACUUGGGCCUUUCGCAUGCUCUGUUGCAGCUGUGGUACCUUCUGUUUUGUAGGAUCCCAUGCCCAUCAUCUCCUUUUUACAUUAUCUGGGAGUGUAUUUGGAACUUAUAAAGUACUUAAUUUUAGCUGUGGUUCCUUCUGUUCAUAUACUUUUCCAUGCCCUCCUACUGUCUUUGCAUUAUAGCAGAGGGUACUUGGAACUGUUAAAGUGCUUCAUUGCAGCUGUGUCACUUUUGUAAUUUAGGACCCAUGACUUCCCAGCCCCUUUACAUUACCUAGAAAGGCAUCUGGGACUGUUAAGGUGCUAACUGCAGCUGUGGUCCCUUCUGUUAGUCUAGGAUCCCAUUCUCUUGUACUCCCUUUGCAAUACUUGGGGAAGGUUUUUUGGGACCAUUAAAGGGCGCUGUUGCAGGUGUGGUCCUUUCUCCUACUCUGAGAUCCAUGCCCUUCAAACUUUGGGUUACUGCUGAGGGCACUUGGUACUAUGAAUGUGCUCAAAUGCAGAUUUGGUCCCUUUUCUUAGUCUCAGAUCUCAUGCCUUCCAACUCCUUGUACAUUAUCAGAGAGGGUGCUUGGGACAGUUUUUAUGCUCUAUGAUUUCAUCCCUUGCCCCUCGCCCUGCAACUUAACUCCCUUUGCAUUACCACAGAAGGUACUGGAGACUGUUCAGGUGUAUCUCAUUCUCUGACCCCCUGUUAGCAUUAUAGUAAGGGGUGCUGAAUACCAAAACCCCCUUUUUUUUGCAUUGUUAAUGUGCAUAAUUGCAUUUGUUCAUCUUUCUCUGCAGUAGAUAAGAUUUCACUAACUUCCCUUGUAUUCAGCAGUGAAUGCCCUUUAUUCAAGACCUUUGUACUACAAUAAAGUGAACCAUGGUAAUUGACCACACUGUCAUUCAUUUAAGUCCCCCGUACUCUCUGUAUUAAUUACUUUAGUUAUUUUUUGGGGGGAUUAUUUGUAGCAAAAUUCCAGUGUUUAUGGUCCUUCACUUUUAACUAAUUUCCCACCCUUUUUGUAUUGCAUCAGGGGAUGUUAGUAUCUCAAAGUAUUUUUCUUAGGACUCUAAAUGUGCAUAUAUCCUCUUGAUAAGCUAAUAUCUUUAUUUCUUAGUAUUAUAGCAGGGGGUACUAACCACCUAAGGUCCUUCUUUUGGACAGUUAAUGUGCCAGAUUGCACAUCCCCAAAUUGGGGAUCCCAUCCCCAUCACACCUUCUCUGUGUCAGGCGUGCUGACCAACUAUAACUGCUUCUCCUUUAUAGUUUAAAUGUGCAUAAUUACAGUAACCAAUGGUCCCUUAUGUUAGAAUGGGAUCUCAUUUCCUUGCCCAAUUUACAUUACUGUGGGGGCUUCUGACUAGCCAAGAGUCACUCUCUUGGACUGUUAAUGUGCAUACUUAAAUUCACUCUUAUACCUAGAUAAGGAUUCUCCCCAUACUAUUUAUAUUCCAGCAAGAGGUGCCUACUACUUAAGGUUUUACACACUAAUGCAGUUAAUGUGCACAGCCUUUGUUGUCUUGUGCAUACUCAGUUGUCCACAACUGUACCUUUUAGUUCAAGACUCCUGCAAUUACUGAAGCAGAAAUGACUGACCACCUUAAAGCCUUUCUCUUGGGACUCUGGAUGUGUGUAGUAUUGGUUGUCCACUGUCCUUUGAGUUAACUUGGGUCCCUGAGUCUUUUCACAGCCUCUAAGCUUUACUUUAUGGGGUACUUUCCAUUUAAGGCCCCUUUCUCAAACUGUUAAUGUGCAUAAUGACCAUUACAUUGGGAUUCUUCCCCUUUACACUCCCUUUGAAGUACUGCAGGGAAUUCUGACCCAUAAGGUUCCGUUUCAUGGCCUGUUAAGAUGCAUGUUAUAUUUAUCUGGGUUCUUAUGUACUAGAGAAGAAAACCUCUCUCCACUCCCUGUAUCUUCAAGCAGGGAGUGCCCACUGUACAAGACCAUGCCCUGUACAAGACUGUUGAGCAGUCAAGGAAGACAAUUGUAAUUGACCACAGCCAUGCACCAUGGACAUUAAUGUGCAUAAUUGCACAGGCUCAUCCUGUUUGAAUAAGAUACUACCUUCUCAGACCCCAGAAGGGGUACUGAUCAUUAAGACCUUUUUUUCAUGCCUUGUGAUUAUGCAUAAUUGCAUUUGUACAUUUUUCUGUACACCAAAUAAGGACACCCCUCUCCCCACUCCCUUUAUCUUUAGCAAGGAGUGCCCAUUAUUUUAAGAUCCUUGUAUCUGUACAAGAUACAUGGUUUUAGUUGAUCAUACCAUGUCUGUUGGACAUUAAUGUACAUAAUUGCAACUUAGUUCAUCCUACUCUGUUGUAUGUCAUUUGCUGUAUGCUAGGGUUGCUGAUCCCUAACUUAUCCUGUUAAUGUGCAUAAUUGCAUUAGUCUGGGUUCUUGUGCACUAGAUGAGGACAUCCUCCACCCCUACUUCUAUGCCUUCCAGUAGGUGGUGCCCACUGCUGUGACAUUUACAUUUGGAUGGUUAAUGUGCAGAAUUGUAGUUUGCACAACCCUAUCACUUUCAAAACUAACGUAUCUGCUUUGCACUGCUGCAGGGGAUACUGUUUUCUCCCCAAGUUCUUUCUAGUAAACCAUUAAUAUUCAUAAUUGAAGUAGUUAUACACCCUCAGCUUCCCUUUGCAGUACAGCAGUGUGUACUGAUCAACCAAGGCCCUCUUUUGGAGUGGUAAUAUGUGCAAUUGCAUUUUUUUCCUAUUUUGUGCACUCAGUAAGGAUCCUGCCUACUUCCUUACCAGGUUCAGCAGGUAGUGUCCACUACUUAAGACUCUUCACUUGAAAAGUUCAUGUGCAUAAAUGCAGUUUGCUAAGUGUGUCUUAUACUAGAACCCCUCUUUGCUUUGGAGUAAGGAGAUGUUAUUUACCUAAUGCCCUUUCUUUUAGACUCUAAUGUGCAUAAUUGCAAUUGUCCAUCUUUUCUGUUGGACUAGGGUUGCAUUCCCUCAAACCCCCUUUGUAUCAGGGGUGUGUUAACAAUAAAUGAGCUCUUCUCUUGAGAUUAUAAUUGUACAGACUUGUAUGUGUCUGUGGAUUUGUGUAGUGUGAAAGGACGCCCUAUGCAUUUACCACUAUCUUUGGAUUGCUGCUGAGGAGUGCUAUCAUGACCUCAGCUCUUGGACAAUUAAUGUGCACCACUAGCAAUGAUGGGACCUCUGUACCCGCUUUGUAUACAUCAGGGGUACUAAGGCCCCUUUCUUGGACUGUCAAUGUGCAAUUGUCUAUGUUCCCUUCUGUUAAAUUUAGGAUAACAUUCCCUUAAACCCCCUUUGCAUUAAUGCAGGGGUUGCUGACCACACAAAACUCUAUUAGUUUAGAGUUAUUAAACUAUUAGUGGGCACAAUGGCAAUUAGUGGGACUAUUAGUGGGCACAAUGGCAAUUAGCAAUGGGUUUUUCCUCCCUGGCCUUGUUAGGCAAACACUCCCAGCCCCAAUUUCCCUUGGCAUAAUAAAGUAUAAACAUGGCAGUAUGCUGUGAACUUGUCCAUCAAAUAGUACCCCAUACUCCCUCUCCUUUUGUAUUGCUUCUAUGUAUAAAAUUCCAAGUAGUCAUGAUCUUCCCCUUCCUUCCCUCUUCCCACCCCUUGCUCACCCUUGGACCCAUCCAAGGUGCAUAAGCACCAUUCUCACAAUUUCAGGUGUUCAUGUAUUGGGCCACUAAAUAAGAUUGUGUUCCUUUUUCCCUCCCAACGCCACCCUGCCCCUUUUGCAUUAUUGCUGGGGAAUGUUGACUGGGCAAGGCCCUUUCUCUUGGAUUUAAAACAUUAACAAUCCCAGAUGUCAUUGCAUUACUCACUUUGUAUUGCUGUAAUGCCUCAGUUGCACUAUCCUUGGUCCCUCCCAUCAGACAUGGACCCCUCCACUUCUUUGCAUUGCUUCUGAGUAAUGCUGAGUACCCAAAGUCUCUUCUGUGUUAUUAACACAGUACUGAUUGUCCCAUUUUUUCAGGUCAUCAGCCCAAGAUUUUCCUACCAUUUUGAUGUGUUUGUGCAGUGUUGACUACCCAAAGCAGGCCUGAAUUAGGUGGAUGGACCUUCACUCCUUUGUCUGCAUUUGUUAAUAAUCCCAAUUCCAGUUGUUACAUUCUGGGAUAGGAACCAUCCCUGACCAUUUCUGUUACUGCUUCACUGAGCAAAAUGCUCAAGGCAAGUCAGGCCUAGAAAAGAUUGCCACCUUUUAUUUUAGAUUUCCAGUAUAAGUAUCAGUUGAAAAUUGUCUCCCCAGGAAGAAAGAUUAGCAUUGUGUGUGUAUUCUUCUUUCCAGAGCAGAUUGCCUGGCCAAGAAUUUCGCUUCUCCUCUUGUAUAUUGCUAUUGUACUGUGCCAGUUGCCAGCGUACAAUUAAAAAAAAAAUACUGUUUGCAAGGUGGAAUUGUAAACCUGGUCAUUGAAUUUUGAGGUCCAAAAACCCAUUUAUACCAUGUACCUGAUGACCAGUGUCUCUCAUUUUACUAAGGGUGCUGGGUCUGUGGAUAGACCACUGUGACUCUUGCUAUUUUGGUAUUCCCAAAAGACUUCUAGAGUGGAACUCUUAAGACCAAUAUCUUUGGGUUCUACCACCAUUUUAAAACCCAUUAUUUAUUUGGGCUUUACCACUGUUCACUUUUAGAAAAACUACCUAAACAUUCUAAUCCUUAAAUUUCUUCAUCUGAAGCAUCUACCACCCCUUACUUAUUUCAAGAAGAUUGCUGUAAAAGAAUGAAAUGAGAGAACAUAUGCUGAGGCACUUUUGAAAACCAUAAUUCAUCUUACUUGAUUAAUCUAUUACAUAAAUAAAAUGCACACUAUUUAAAUCUGCUAAUUUAAACUAGCCUGAAGCACUACACUGAAGUGAGGGAUUAGAAAUGAUGGGUCCAAUUUCCCUGUUUUAGAUUGAAAAAUAAGCCAAGAUCUAAUCAUUCUUCUGGACAUGAAUUUCAACAGCUGCUUGGUAAAAUGAAUAAUAUCCUAGUCUCUAGUGUGCAGGGUGUGGCAGAUAAGUGUUUAAUAUGGAACUCCUGAAGCAAAUAACUAGUGGUCACAACAGCAGUUCUUUGUAAUCACUGAAAAAGGAUACUAUUCCUCUGACAAGGAUGUCAAAAGAUCGGCCCAGCUCAGGGUGCAGUAUGCACUACUAGCUCCUUGGACAGCUGUAAGAAGAGUCUCUGGCUCUUUAGAAUACUGGAUCAAUUCUGAGCUGGUUCUAUACCCCCACUGAAGAGGAAGGAUGGAUCAAUUUUAAGUGGAUUGAAGCCUGCACUAGACAGCAUCCAAAGGAUAUCGGCCCUGGUUAGCAAAUGUACACCUGCAUGGGAGUUUGACUUGAAGUAAAUAAUUUAAAAAGUUAAUCUGUGGUGUCUGCUAAAAUGUUCUUAUUUGUGAAAGUGUUCUGGGAAUUUACCAUAUUAAAGAGAAGAAAAUUGAUAUCUGAACUGAGUUCCAAAAUGUAAUCACUUUCUCUGGCUUUAGCUUCCCUUUGAUGGAAAGGGAAUGCUUCUUGAACAUGUCAUCAGUGUAAAAACAAAACUAGAAGGCUUUGGUCUAAUGUAGCCAUACUCAGUAAAUAUGGUUCAGAGUGGAUCAGAGAUCUGGAGAGAUUGGACUAGUCAUUUCCUUUUAGGUAUCUUAACUGGGUUUUGGUGUCUUCCUGAGUCCUGUCUUUCUUCUCAAGGACGUUCUGAGCAUGUGAAACCUGAGGACUGCAAGUAGCUCUAAGCAGCUUCACAUUCAGCAGAUCUUUCCUUUUGAGAAUCUGGAUAAACUCCAAAUAAUCUAAGAUGAUGGCUUGCAGGCCACCUGGAAAAAAAAAAAGAUCUUCCUCUGAAGAAUAGGCUUGUUGCUCUACAGUGUUAGUGACCCAUUCCCUUUGACGAUCCCUAGGUGGAGAUGGGGCAUGAGGAUCCUCCAGGGGAAAAGCUCACUAUCACUGGGCAACAACCCUAGGCUAGGAGGCUUUACCAAGAUUCUUUCCUGAGCCCAGGUAGGAAGUCUCACAACAACCGCCACACAUCAGAGGUGGCUCCUGAUUGUUCUCUUCUUAUCUGCCAAAUCAUUGUAUCCCCAAAACAAUGCAGAGAGCAAGAAAUUUGAACACAUCAAAGGAAGAUCAACAUGCCUGGCAUGCUAACAUUUUAGAACAGCAGAAUGAAUGUGUAUUUCUUUGUCUAUUUUUUUCUUGAAUCUCUUUGGUUUUCCUUCUCUGUCUAAAGUGUGUCUCAGCCAUUCCAUGAUUCUCUUGUUAGUUUCUUCUCUGUGUAUCUUUGUCUCAUUUUCUUGUUCCUAAGAGUUGUCUGUGCCUUGUCUUGGAUGUCUCUCUCCAGUUUUUUCAUUUUGUUAGUGAUUCUCUUUGUUCUCCUAGAUCUGGCUCUUCUUUCACUGUUCUUCCUUUUGUGUCUCUGUGUCACAUGAUGUGUGCUUUUUGUUCAUUUCUUGUUCUGCCUAUACCUCUCUUCUUGUUCUGUUGUGAACUCUGAUUUUUUGUCUUCCCUUACCCUUCUUAUUGGUUUCACAUUUCACCUUUUUCUCAUUCUGCCUUCCCUUCUACUUUUUCUACUCAUUAUCUCAAAUUUCUGUGUCUCUUGGGCCAUUUUCUCUCUAUUUUGUCCUGCUUUGUCUCAGUGUCUCUUUUUCUCUCUGUUUUUUUUUCCUGCUCUGUCUCAGUGUCUCUUUUUCUCUGUUUUUUUUUUCUGCUCUGUCUCAGUGUCUCCUUGCUCUUUGUGAUUUUUCCAUUUCAGCAUUCAUCUCUGUUUUCUUGUUUCUUCUCUGCUUUUCCCCUUCUACUCACCUUUGAGUAUUUCAGCCUCUUUGUGAGUCUGUGAUUCCCCCUCUUUGACUUUAUGCAGUCCUCUAUCCUUGCAUAUUUUUGUGCAUUUGUAUGAUCAUGUGUGUGUCUUUGUGACAAAGGGGCUUCCUAACCCCUUCCCAAUAGGUACAGUGUGUCAACUAUCAAAAUACACAUUGCAGAGCUGUUCGUUAUGCCAGGACACCCUGUGAGAUGACCCAGGACCUAUGAUGGACAGAAAGUGGAAGGCCCAUAAUGGAGAGAAGGCCAAAAGUAAAAGACAGAUGGUUUGAGACUUGAGACCUAAAGACAAAAAUGGAAAACCUGUCUCAAGAUAGGUGGAAACUUCAGGCUUGAGACCAUCUAAAGUCCUGACAACCAUGAUGUAAAAAGGUGGCCCUUGUUGGAUAGAAGACCUGACUGAGUUGGAUGGAAAGUUCAAGACUUGAGUUAGAUAGAAGUCCAAAGACCCAGAGUAGGAGACUGAAGGCCUAAGAAUGGGGACCCAUCGAAAGCCUGAGACAUAAGACACCAUGUCUAAGACCUGAUAUAAAAACUUUAGCUUGAAGAUCUAAGAUCCAAGGAUGGAAGGCCCCAGACACACAUAAAGACCCAGGACUCCAGCCUCUAGAUGGACAGAAGGUCAAAGAGAGAAAUCUAUCUCAAGGCUAAAUUAGGUGGGAAGCUAGAAGCACAUGACACAGAAUCCAAGAAGGAUAGAAGCCCCAAGACCAAAGGAAAUCCCAAGAUGAGAACGCUAAACCCCAGCUUUUUUCUAUUGCCAUCCUUCCUACUCUUGGACAUUUUCAGUUCUCCCUUGACAGUUCUUAUGUUUCCAUUUAAGCCCACUUUUUUGAGAUGCCCUUUUAGAUGUUGCCAUUACCUUAAGGAAACAUAUCUUUACAUUGGCAAUAUUAUGCUUGGUCCAGUCUUAAGCCAAUUUUUAUCACAGUUUUGGGCCAUUUAUUGUUUGGUUUUUAAAUUUCCAUUUGUCUUUGCCUCCAAUUCACAUGAGAGAGACAUAUAGGUAACAUUGUAUUUCAGUUGUCCUUUUUCUUUAGGAGCUAUAGGCUGAUGAGCAAAGGCAAGCAUCAGGCUGUUGUGGGAAAAAAGGUGCUAGGCUAUUUAGAGAAAAUGUGAAGAGAUGUUCCAGGCCAGUGAGAAGAAUUAGACAAGAAAUACCCAGAUGUGCCAGACUGUUGAAGCACUAGCCAGAAACACCUUACUUCUUUGAGCUUGGGUGAGCAGGAUUCCUGGGGUUUGGGAUUCCUAGUGAUGGUUAAAAAACAGAUGAUUGGUCCUGGGACAGAGUGAGGCCCCAAGGAGGCAGUUUGAACUCCCUGCUCAUAGUAGUGGCCUAAUAAUUUGGUAGACUGUGCCAGUACUGCUCCUGGGUUUAAUACCCACCUCAAGGUUUAAAGGUGAGAGAACUUGGGACUAUUUACUUAGCAGGUUUAAUCCUUUCCUUGAUUCCCCCCCAUGAGAGAAAAAAAUUUAAACAAUUGAGAAUAUAUGUGAAAGCAUUGUAAAGCAGAGAAAAAAGUGCAAGGCAUUCUCAUUAAUAGUAUAUCAGCAGCCAUGCACAGCUGACAUUUAAAGUGUACUGUCAGUUGUGAAGCAUUAUGUAAAUCAGGGGUCAUUACACCCUUUCUGUAAAGGGUCAGAUGGUAAAUAUUUUAGGUUUUGUGAGCCAUAUGGUCUCUGACACAUUUUUUAAAAUUAACCCUUUACAAAGAAAAACUACUGUUAGCAUGUGAACCAAGUAGAUUUGGUCUGUGGGCCAUACUAUCAUCCCUGAUGUACAUACCAGGGACUGUGUGCUGAAUAAUACUUGUGUGUGCCUGUCCCUGAGCUAGACACUUAAGGAUGCAAUAAUUAUUUACUAUUACAUCCAGGUGACCUGAAGAAAAAUAUGUGAAUGUGCUUUGUAAACUGUAAAGCACUUAAAGAUUUAUGAGUUUCAGAGUUGAUGAAUGAAUAUUGACUACACAGUAUGUACAUUCUACUGUACAUUCUACUAGACACUGUGAAUACAAAGAUUAAAAGAAGCCUGAAUAAAGUACUUUGUCAGAAGUAUGUAAUACUAUGAAGAUAUUAGGAAUUGUUUGAUAAAUGAAUAAUUCAUAUAUUUGUGGCCAUCAUGUUUCCGCUGCUCUGGUAAUUUUAAGUAAAAGUACAGUAUUCCAGGUAGCAGAAAAGCAAACACAUGGAAGCUGCUUUUAAAGCAUAAAAUAUACUGCAAACACAAGGGAUUAAGCUAUUGUGAAAACUUAUAACAUGUCACAUACCAUGCUAAGUGCUACAGAUGUCAAAGGGAAAACAGUGUCCUCAGUAGGGAAUUAAAAAUGUCAGAUUAUGAGGUGCAUAUUAAAGUACUUUGUAAACUAAAGCACUGUAUAGAUACCAGUGUGUUACAUGUUUAUGAAUAUUAUUUGCCUUUUAUGGGCCAGGUAUAUUUUGGGUACUCUGAAAUCUAAGAUAAUGCUUCCAAGUAAUAAGAGGGGGGCUUAUGUCCUAGACUAUUUAGAUGUAAAGAAUUGGAUAUUGCUUGUUUUAAUCAAUCAAGACUUUAAUGGUGAUGUCAAAUUAAAUUAUCACCAGUAUAUUUUACCAGGUAACAGGUAAAUGUAAUGAUUGAGAUUGCACUUGCACUUUCUAAAGUGCUAUAUAAAUACAAGACAUUAGCUGUUUUCUGUGUGAAUAAAACUUUCUGUGAGAUAGGCAUUGUCUCCAGAAAAUUCUCAUUGUGUUCCUGACAUCCACUAUGACAAAGGUAAUAUAAAUAGUUAUAGAAACUGAGGGUUUAAAUACUUGUUGAAUGAAUGAAUGAAUAUCAGUUACUUACUAUGUGGACUCACUAUUAUAGGCAUUAAAGAGAUACAAAGAUUUAUCAUUUCAUUGUGCUUACAGCUGAGAAUAAGCCGAUACAUGUGUCAGCAUUUUGGGAACUCUAAAGCAUCAUAUAAGUGUAACUACUGAUUUUCUGAUUUGGUGCUGAGUACUGGGCUUAUAAAAUUAUAUCAGACUUAUUAUAUUAUGAAAAAAGUUGGAAAAAUCUGAGGAAGAGUUCUUAACUAUUAAAAACUCUGAAUAUAAUAUGCAAAGGAUUAAAUAUCUGGUAAAUGCAAAACUGGUUAAUAAUUGUCUAUUACGUGCCAGUCUCCUUGCUAGGCAUUAGGGAUGUGAAGAUAAACCAUCUUUAUUGUGUCCUGGGUAGCAGCAGAUAAUGUAUAAAAUCAAUUUAUAAGUCUUAAACUGCCAUAUAUGUAUAAGCAAUAUCUGCUGAAUUAACAUUGAUUAUUUACUCUGUCUUAUCUGUGGAGACAACAAACGGGGAUGCAGAAGUUAUCAUUAUUAUUGAACUUACAACAGAGAUCUGUGUAAAUUUACAAGCCUGCUAUUCUAUACAGAUAUAAGGAAAUAACUUGGCUUAAUGAAUGAUUACUUUCUAUGAGGCUUAGAACUAUGCCAUGCCUUAGGAUAUAAAAAUGAUUUUAUUCUUAUGAGGUGUUCAUAGGAAGAAAUAAGGAAAUCCAGUGAGAAAUAAGGAAAUAAGUGAGAUCCAGACUAAAAGUUAACCACUACUAAGCUUAUUUAAUAAAAACAUGGGAAAAAUGGAAUUGUGCCAGGAAGUAUGCUAAAUGCUGAACUCUGUGGAAAGAUAAUAUCUGAAUCAGAGGGUGUCCUUGCUCUCUAGCUAGACUGAAGAGAUGGGAAAUGUUUUUAAAAAAGAAGAUGUUAUAGUGCUUUAUCAGUCUUUAAAAUGUUGAAUGCUGAAGGUGGAGGUGAAUGAGAUCCACCCUGCCUGGCUUAAAAUUAAAUGGCUCAGGUUUGAUUUUAGAUUCAUAUGAUAAACUAGAGCAUCUUUUAUGUGGAAUACAUCAUUCUAGGUCCUAAGAGAAGUGACAUGGCUAAGUCAAAAGGGCAUCAGAAUACAGAUUAUAGAUGAAGAUAAGAAAACAUCAUUGAUUUUUAAGUAGAUAUUUGAGUGCCUGUUUUCUGGACAGUAUUAUGCUAGAUAAAUUAGUUGAGUUGGCCUGGUCCAGAAAACCUAUCGACAUGCCUUAGAGAUUAAAAAAAAAUAGAAAAAUAAGGCAUGAUUCUUUUAAUGUUAAAUGAAGACUUUUCCUAAUUCUUUCUAAUUUUCACUUGCUCAUUGACCUAGUUUGAAGCCAGAAGACUGAUAAUAAGGGAGCUUAGGGUUUGUCCUUUAAUUCAUUACUUUAACAUUCUGUUUUGAUUAUAGAUGGAUGGUUUAAGAUGAGAAAUAAGAUAAAACAACUGGUUUUAAAAAUAUUUGCUUAUUGGCCUGGCAUAGAGUCAGGAAGCCACUUGAGCAGUACAGAUUUUUUUCUAGAUUUUCUGUAUUUUGUAAAAAUUUAUUUACCCUGUAUAAUGUUCUCAAAUGCAGAGAAUGAAGAGACUUAAAGGACCUAUACCAAAAUGUACUUUAAUCUCACUAGUUUAUGGUAGAAACAUAGGAACUAAUUUAAUAAGAGACUGCAGUUCUUUCAGUUUAUUGAGCAGCUGUGAUAGUAAGACACUGAGAACAAAUGAUCACCUUCUCUUUGGCAUGUUUUAUAGAGUGGGAAUAAGAGAGAACUUUUCAUUUAUACAAACUUUGAGGAAGGUGAUGUUAAAUUGGAACAGAUCUGGUAAGAAAGGCACUUAUUUUGUCUUGGAGAUGCAAUAGGACAAAACAAAAACAAACAAAACAAAACAAAAAGGAAUGAAAUUCUUCUUUAAAUGGAAGUGUCUAUUUCAAGGCAUUGUGUUAAUUGCUAGACAGAAAACAAAAAAAGAUCUUGACUGAAAGAUACUUUUUAGUUAGCUUUGAGACUAGAAUAUAAGAGAUUACUGUUCAUUUCUUCAUUUAUUCAUUCUACAAGUACAUUUGAAUGCCUAUUAUGUAUAAGGCUCUUUGCUAUGUUCCCAGAUAGCCCGAGAGACAUGAAAAAAACAAAACAAAAACAAAAAAUAAAUGCUUUCCUAGAGAACUUUUAAAGCUUUCUUUUGGCCCAUUUUCUGGUUAGGGGCUUGGCAUAGUCCGUAAAUAAUGUUGUGGGUUUUAAUUGCUGUUCCAUGUUUCUUCUACCACUCUGGCCACUACAAUAAGCAGGGUUUUCUAUUGAGCUUGCUCUUUAAGUUGCAGGAACUUUCUUUAUAAUAGGCACUUUAUUUUUCCUGGCCCAUCCCUAAUGAAAAAUGACUGUGACCGCUGCUGGACAGAAGGAGGGAUGACAAACAACUAAUUCCCAAAUUCCAGUUUCAUUGGUACCAGCAUUGGGGAAACACUUAUACUCUAGCCACAAUUGGUUUUAAAAUGCAUUUACCAGUUUUGUCUGUUUUUAAUUGUUUACAUUUUUACAUUCUGACAAAUAUGUGCUGCCUAAAUAGAUCUCUUUGAAAUACAUAACAUAAUUGGAGAUGGAGACAUGAUUUCUCUUUUGCAAUAGUAUCUCAACUUAACCUUUAGAAAUCUCACCAUCAAAACAUGUUCAAGAAAGGACUUCUUAAUAGUGGAAUAAUAUCAGUUAAUUAAAAUAGCUUAACAAUUUUACCAUGUUUAAAAUUUCAGAAUAAUAGAAAUUGGAAGUAAUUGGCAAAAAUUGGAGGGAAUCAACAACAAUCCUCAAUCUAGGCCCAACUGGGUUUUGACCUUUUCUAUUUUUAAAUCACUCACAGAGGGUGGGAUAGGAGGAAGAGUGAAAGAAAAGGUCAAACCAGUUUCUAAGGGCAGCCUGCCUGUGUUUGGUAUUGGUUUUAAAAACAUUACUACCUCCAAGUCUAACUAGGGGAUUGCUUUUUUUAGUUUAAUGCAAUUCCGAUCAGUAGUCCUUAUUGCGAUGAAGACAUGGUACUUUGUCCCCCACUAAUUUCUGUAAGUCUUUGAGAAACAAUUUUGAGCUAGUUAUCAACUAAACCUUGAGUUAGAUAAUUAUGGGAUUUGUUAAUUAAAUCAAUGUAACCUCCAUCAGAAGGUAGUUUUAAAGUCAACAUUCACUGCAAAAGAGGAGGACUUUAUUGUUCACAGUAAUUUAUAUAACUUUUAGUUUACAUCUGUAAAUGAAGAAGGAAAUAGGUGAAUGGCAAAAGAUAAUUGGUGGAGGGAACAAAGUUGAAGACAAAUUGGGUGUGAUGUUUCUAGUUUUCGCUUUGUACAUUUUUAUUUGGGCAUCAGAUAUAUCUGAAAUACUGUUUGGCCUUUAAUACUGUGGUAUCAGAUGGAUUCUGUAACACCCAUAUUUUCAAGUUGGGGUCGGGGAGUACAUUAUUGGAAAUUAGACAGGAGAAAGUAACUAAAAGCCUUCCUUUCACAGUUCCUGACAUCCUAAGACUACUGCUAUUGAUAAGAAUAAGAACAUACUAUCAUCUGAAUUUUUAUGGCAUAAAUGAAAUUAUGAACAAAUACAUUUUUAAAGGAAAUGGCUUCAUCUGUACCCUUCUGCCUAAAAGGGAAUCUAUGCCAAAUGUUCCAAUAAAUGGGAAGAUACACUUUGACUUGUGAACUGAUGUGAAAAUGCAGAAUCUUUGAUUUUUGAGUGUUUUGAAGAUUGAAAAAUCUUGCUCAACAUGGGUGACCACCAAAAGCAAUCUAAAGCUAUCGACAUGUCACAACUGAGACAAAUUGGGGAAUGUGUUGUUUAAUGUGAAAUAAAAUGUACUGUUUUGAAAA